rnacentral:tRNA from 1 species
GGAUGUAGCGCAGCUGGUAGCGCGCUUGGUUUGGGACCAAGAUGUCGCAGGUUCGAACCCUGUCAUCC